CAAACAGGAUUAGAUACCCUGGUAGUCCACGCCGUAAACGAUGUCGACUUGGAGGUUGUGCCCUUGAGGCGUGGCUUCCGGAGCUAACGCGUUAAGUCGACCGCCUGGGGAGUACGGCCGCAAGGUUAAAACUCAAAUGAAUUGACGGGGGCCCGCACAAGCGGUGGAGCAUGUGGUUUAAUUCGAUGCAACGCGAAGAACCUUACCUGGUCUUGACAUCCACAGAACUUGGCAGAGAUGCCUUGGUGCCUUCGGGAACUGUGAGACAGGUGCUGCAUGGCUGUCGUCAGCUCGUGUUGUGAAAUGUUGGGUUAAGUCCCGCAACGAGCGCAACCCUUAUCCUUUGUUGCCAGCGGUUAGGCCGGGAACUCAAAGGAGACUGCCAGUGAUAAACUGGAGGAAGGUGGGGAUGACGUCAAGUCAUCAUGGCCCUUACGACCAGGGCUACACACGUGCUACAAUGGCAUAUACAAAGAGAAGCGACCUCGCGAGAGCAAGCGGACCUCAUAAAGUAUGUCGUAGUCCGGAUUGGAGUCUGCAACUCGACUCCAUGAAGUCGGAAUCGCUAGUAAUCGUGGAUCAGAAUGCCACGGUGAAUACGUUCCCGGGCCUUGUACACACCGCCCGUCACACCAUGGGAGUGGGUUGCAAAAGAAGUAGGUAGCUUAACCUUCGGGAGGGCGCUUACCACUUUGUGAUUCAUGACUGGGGUGAAGUCGUAACAAGGUAACCGUAGGGGAACCUGCGGUUGGAUCACCUCCUU
rnacentral:rRNA from 1 species